GUUGGUGCUAGCCUGGAACCGGUUUUUCUGGCCCCAGAGCCAGUUCUUUGUCAGUGGAAACAGAAAACCUGGUUCCAAACUAAGCACUGGCCCCGAACCAGCCCUGGAACUGCUUUGGUGGAAAAGGGGCAAUGGAGGAUGCUUGGACUGAUAAAAGAAACAGACUCUCUGUUGCAAUGGUGAAGGCUGAGCUUCAAGUCAGGCUAAACUUUCAGUUGUCCUCAAGACAUUCAUUGAAAAUCAGCCAGGACCUCAUAGCAGCAGCAAAGAAAAACAUCAAAUAUAAAUGGAAGAUUAGCCAAGAGCAGCAAGCAGCAGAGGCACCGGCAAGCACAAGCAAAGCACACACCACACUCUAAGCAAUCAGCUCGGCCAGGUGGAGGUGUGAGCUGAAACCACCUGGAUGCAGAUGGCGCCCUCUGGUGGAUUCAGUGUGGCAGUGCAGCAGCUGAGAAGGAUGAAGGAGAUCUUGUGGAGUGAAUAAACUGAAAUAAUUCUGCGUAAAAAAAAAAAGACUUGAGUAUGUGUAGCUCAUAAAAAUGUAUUUAAAUGCACUUUUCCAGUUACAGGUCUGAGUGGCUCCUGGUUCUGUUCCAUUGUAAUGACCUUCAAACAUUCAUGCACCAUUUUGGACUGAAAUUUCAGCAAAGCAACAACAGCACACAAGUAGCUUAGAUGCUAGCUAGCCUGCUAACAUUAGCGACAACUCUAAUGAUCUAUUGAUCUCUUGCUGAUUACUUUCCCAAACCAGUGAAUAGUUUGGUAAGUGUUGUAGAUUUAACCAUGUUACGUGUGUAUAUUAACUGAUCUAAAGCCAAUAUCUCUAUAAACUCGUUUAAAAGUAGAGAAGGUGAAACUUUAGCCUGUGCAUACAUGUCAACCUAUACGGAAUGUCCGUAUUUUAUACGGAUUUGAUUCAAUAAACGUAGUAUACGGGCGUACAAAUAGUUAUACGGAUUCUUUAAAAAAAACUUCAAUAUUUAUUUAGAGCUAUAAUCAAUUCCCACGAUGAUAAAAGAGCGCAUAACAUUUACAAACGUACUGUACACCACAGACAGCCAGUAAAGAGUCUUAUGAAAUUGCGCGUUAUCUUGUGGUAGCGAGACUUUGUUCCACUUUUGAUCAUGCGCACACCGCAUUGCGAGAAUCCCGCCAACCGGGAAGUAACAUUUUGUUUGAAACGUGUAUUUCCACCUGAGCGACUUUCACUAGCGACUGAAAAGAUUCUGAAUGGGCACUCCGGCAAGAUCAACACAGACACUUGCUGUGACAUGCAGCCUCGUGAGGUAUUGGUGCAGAGUGCUAAAAAAAAGCUGUCAUGGAGUACAAUUCAGAACAUUAGCAUGACACUUUGUGUUUUUGUCAAACAUUGGAGCUUUGUAUUCAUUCUGAAGGUUUAUUGUUAUUAAUAUUGAAUAAAAAGUAACUGGGAUAUAUCAUUGUUAAUUAUCAUUCAAAUUUUAGGUAAAUUAUUUUAAUUUGCAUCUUAUACGGAUUUUCUAAGGGAAAUAUGGAUUUUGGAGGUUGGUUAUACAGGUUUGAUUGACCAAAGGUUGACAUGUAUGCCUGUGCACAGUGCGAGCGGCCACGUUGAUUUGACGUCAAACAAGGAAGGAACUGGUAGUUGAGGAGACGAUCCCAAGUUGAUGGGUUGAGAUGUUAAGUUGAGGGGUAUCUCCGGUGGGUUUUACUGGCUGUAGGUGGGGAAACGGCUGCAAGGGGCAACUUUGACUUGAAUGUAGCGUAAUUCUUCAUGGCUAAGCGGUGUUAAAAAGGGAAAAAAAACCCACAAUCACUACAAAAUAUGAACAAAUGAAUAAUUUAAUAUUAAUUUAAUAAAUAAUACAUUAAUCACUAUUCUGCAGAAGAAUAUAAUAAAG